AUUGGGCUGAGCACGGCUUGCAUUUUAUAAGACACUGCAAAAAUGCCUUCUCCAUUGGUUUACCAGUCUUAUUUAUUUUUAAAGUUAAGCUUAGUUGAUAAAAAACAUAAAGACUGUAUGUAUCAGAAGGUGUUAGACUUUCAGCUGCUGGAGGGAACAUUUUGAAUUCUGUUUAAAAACACAGCUAUUAUAACAGGCUAACUCACUAUCCACAAGAAUCAGGCCUUAACAACUAUGCAGAGUAAUGUGCCGUAAGUUCCAGGAUUUUGUUUCUAAGUAGGAAGUCAACAUGGGAGAGAUACACAUGGACACCUGCUUACCCAGUUCCACUCACAAAGCCAAGACAGGGAAUCACAUGAGAAGGAAAAUGGAUGACAGAACAGGAUCUCAUCCAAUCGCUCAGGUGCUUGGGUCUGUGGAAGCAGAGGUACACUCACUCAGGUUGCUGUAUUGUGGACUCAGUGCGAGUUUUGUUAAAUCUAUGGAAGCCAAGAGUGGACAUGAAGAAUUUCUACUUUGGAACAGUAUCUCUCAGCAGCUUCUACAGAGCAGAGAGCAGGCCUAAUGGGGGCAGCUGAAUGCAUGGAACUCCCCAGCAGACCCAAAAGCCCCCUGCGUAGAUUCAUCUCUGAACAGAACAGUGGGAAAGGCUGUCGCUUAAGGCGCAGGACACUCAAGGUCACAAAUGGUGUUGAGGCCUCCAGUCCAUGACUCUCUUUUUGUUGCUUUUCUUAUGUGCGGUUUGCAGUCAUUUAAAAACCACUUCUCUAACAUAUGACAAUGGAAUAAAACAGCUUUAAAAAUG
rnacentral:lncRNA from 1 species